UACGGAGGAUGCGAGCGUUAUCCGGAUUUAUUGGGUUUAAAGGGUGCGUAGGCGGACUGUCAAGUCAGCGGUAAAAUUGAGAGGCUCAACCUCUUCCCGCCGUUGAAACUGGUGGUCUUGAGUGGAUGAGAAGUACGCGGAAUGCGUGGUGUAGCGGUGAAAUGCAUAGAUAUCACGCAGAACUCCGAUUGCGAAGGCAGCGUACCGGCAUCCAACUGACGCUGAGGCACGAAAGCGUGGGGAGCAAAUAGG
rnacentral:rRNA from 1 species